UGCCUGCUGUGCUUUGCUGGGCUUGGCGGUUCCCCUGUGUCGUGUCCGUCCGCAUCUGUCCACCUCGGUCGCUGGAAAUAGCUUGCAGCCCGUUUUCCUGGCCGCGUUGUUCCCCCAGCUUCACCUUGAGCUUCUGCUGCUCUUAAAUCUGUGUUCUAUUUGCGCCCUUUUGUGACUUGUUCAUCCCUAUCCCGGUAUUCUGUCUUGUAAGCGGGGGAGCAGUUUUGUACGGGGUGGCCACCGACUGCGGAAAAACACAUCCCUGCCUUUGACAGGAGGAAGCCCCAUCAACAGGCCCUCGAUCUCGUGAGCGGCGCUGGCUUGUCGGGAACGGUGAAGAAGCUGCCAUGUUGUUUUCUGGCCACGGGCACCUCUGUUCGCUGCUUCUGAGAGCCUUCAGGCAGGGAGGGGCGGUCCCAUUAGAGGUCCGUGUUGCCCUCCACUGCAAACUGUGUCCUUGUUGAGACACACAUCGGAGCCGCCGGGGAGCUCCAGAAGCAUCUGCGGACACGGGGCACCCAGGGGACCCCAGGCUGCUGUCCCCACAUUAACCUGGACGCCCCGAGGCAGAGGAUGUUAAGAAAGAAGACGGGGGGUUGAGUCCCGGAGGCCCCAACUUUCAACUCCAAGACCUUG